GAUGAACGCUAGCGGCAGGCCUAACACAUGCAAGUCGAGGGGUAACAUAGAAAAGCUUGCUUUUCUGAUGACGACCGGCGCACGGGUGCGUAACGCGUAUACAACCUACCUUUUAGCGGGGAAUAGCCCAGGGAGACUUGGAUUAAUGCCCCAUAGUAUAUAGACUUCUCCUGAAGUUUAUAUUAAACAUUUAUGGCUAUUAGAUGGGUAUGCGUCCUAUUAGUUAGUUGGUAAGGUAACGGCUUACCAAGGCAGCGAUAGGUAGGGGUCCUGAGAGGGGGAUCCCCACACUGGUACUGAGACGCGGACCAGACUCCUACGGGAGGCAGCAGUGAGGAAUAUUGGACAAUGGGCGAGAGCCUGAUCCAGCCAUGCCGCGUGCAGGAAGACUGCCCUAUGGGUUGUAAACUGCUUUUACAGAGGAAGAACCACCCCCACGUGUGGGGGUUUGACGGUACUCUGCGAAUAAGGAUCGGCUAACUCCGCG
rnacentral:rRNA from 1 species